rnacentral:rRNA from 1 species
AAAAGUGAAAGACGGUCUUGCUGUCACUUAUAGAUGGAUCCGCGCUGCAUUAGCUAGUUGGUAAGGUAACGGCUUACCAAGGCAACGAUGCAUAGCCGACCUGAGAGGGUGAUCGGCCACACUGGAACUGAGACACGGUCCAGACUCCUACGGGAGGCAGCAGUAGGGAAUCUUCCGCAAUGGGCGAAAGCCUGACGGAGCAACGCCGCGUGAGUGAUGAAGGUCUUCGGAUCG